ensembl:lncRNA
GUUUCACUCCUCUGAGGAGAUUUGUGUUGUUUUCCCCCCUCAGCAGACACCUGGAGAGGGGUUCGGGUCCCGCAAAACCAGAAACGGAAACUUAAUCGGUUCUCUGUCACCGAAAAGACGGGAAUUAGUCACUUUUGUGUUUGUGAAGAACACACCACCGAGCAGCGACAGAAAAACCCCAACUCCCGGCUUUCACUCGUCUCUCGAGUAGUUUUUCUUUUAUAUGUGUGUAUAUCUUUGUACCGAGCAAAACACACGUUUUCAGACGUUUCCGCCAUUUUCAAAAGUGGACUUGUGUCACGGGUAGUGUUUCCACGUCGUCGGUUGUGUUCGUGGGGGAAAGUUAACGCGUUGUUAAACGGCGGUUUUAACGUCAGAACUCCGGGUUAGUUUGGAAGGAACCGCGCGUGAGGGAGUUCUGGAUUUUACCGGAUCUUAACGGAAUCUUGGAGAACUUUGGGCUACACAGACUUGUAGAGGAACGCACACACACACACACACACACACACACGGAGUCGACUUCAUAGCGUUUCUUUCUACUGAGGCAACAACAACAACAUUGUCAGGUUUUUUUUUUUUCACCUCACAGCAAAAUGAGCCGUUAUUUUGUCCGGCUUUACACGGACUAGCUAAGCUAACCUUCCCCCGCUUUAGUUGUUUAUUUUUUCCCCCCUUCUUUUUUCUUUCUCUCAGCUAAUUAUUUGUCUUCCUCAGCUGUGCCUCAGGGGUGACGAGGCCCCUCGGGGAGCUGCUUGCGGUGUCAAAUCUCUGCUCGUGCUAACGCAUAGCCGCGCGCGCGGGCACGGAGACGCGCGUGGUACGCGGCGCGUGAGCACUCUCCUGAAGAAGACGCGCUGUGAAAGAGAGAGAGAGAGAGGCGCGCGGCGGUAUCAGGAGCUGGAUACCUGUUAACUUUUCUGUCUGCGUGCGUGCGUGCGCGUGUGUGUAUGUGUGGUUGAGAGUGUGUGGCUCGUAGCCGCGGGAAGAGCUUCGUGGUCACUGUUCGGCAUUCCGUAAUGGACGCGAAAGCCUUCGGUCAAGUUUUUCACCGUCCUGUUCUUGCGGUAUCUUGCACAGGCUCGGAUACCGGACUGUAACCGAGUCGCAACCGGAAUAUCUCGGAGGCGAACAGCGUUCAUUUAUCGCCAAGCGGAUUUAUACAGGACAAGUACGAUGUCAUUUGCACGGGUCUGCUUGGGAGCUCUGCUGCUGUGGACGAUUGUUUCUGAUGAGAGCUUUAUUCAAUAUUUGUGGAAGGAGUCUCCAGCGCAGUGUAGCUGCUAUAACGUAAGUGACGACAGGAAAUCACCUGUUUUGUGGAAAUUCCACAAAGUUUAACUAUAAAGGGAUGAAAACGUACGUGCAUUCAUUAAUAAAUUAAACGUCGUAAUUGUUCACCGUUAAAAGGAAUCGAAUGCUUCGGAAUGUGCCGUCAUUGGAAAAUAAUCGACUUCAGGGUGGUAAGAGUAACGCCACUUCUUAUCCGGCUUCAUCACACCAGCCCAUCUUUGAUUAUUUUACAGUAACAGCAUGCCCCCAUAUGUUUAUUCCUUACUAGUUGAUAUAUAUAAAUAAUAACAAUGAUACCAAUUCUCUCUUUCUCUUUGUUCUCUUCCAUGCCUCCUCUGCACAACCCGUACGAAAGUGUUCGCAGGGUAGCCUCAGAUUCCUGUUAAUGAUGCGCUUUCAUAUUUUACCGAAGAAGACGCCUGUAGUUUAAGGCGAGAUUAAUUGGUAAGUGUUUAAUUUAUUCAUAUAUUCUAAUGUGACAUUUUAACUGCUCAUAUGUUAAUUUGUAGGGGUAAGUAAACGGAUAUGCAUAUCAGCCAUUAGGCCAAAUAUCUGUGAAUUACAUACACAUGAUAUCAGGGCAGUGGAUGAUGUUACAUGAUCAACUAUGGCGUGGCUGUUUUUCAGAAGCUAACAUGGAUGUGGGCCGGAAGUGUUCAGGUCAUCGGGUCUAAAUAGGAUAUAUCUCCUGAUAUUUUUGGCUCUGUUGACUCGUAAGACUAAUAAGGCUAAUCGUGUUUAUAUUCGAAUUUACAAAGUAUAUGUACGUCUAUGAAAUUUAACGGAGUCUUCCAUUGGAAACGUCAGUUGGUGGUCUGAUAUCCUCCAGUACUACCCGUGUUGGACGCGGGGCCUCCCGGCGAGGUCAUGGUGUUACGGAAUGACGAGCGUUCGUCUCGCACUCAACCGCUUGCUUAAUAUAUUUAUACGUUUUCCUCUCUACCACGGCAUUUUUCUUAUCAAGAAGGCUUUUUGUGGGUCUGCCGGUAUGUGGAAUCAAUAAAAUAUCACAAAGCAUUUGUUUUAUUUUAGUUAUUUAUUUAUAUAUUUUUGACCAUCAAUUGAUUCGUAGCCUAACCUUGGAUGAGUAACUGCGGUCAUCUUGGCAGGCUUUCCAACUUCAUUUCUACCAUAUGCUGCACUCUGUUUAUAUUAAGCUCCAUCAUUAAUAGCAUUAAUAUCGGGCAUGAUAAACAGUAUUACUCAAAUAUCGGUUGAUUGCAGACCUAAGACGAGCGCAAAAGACAUUGGAUUUUAAAAAAAAAGUCUUGCACAUGAAAUGAAAUAUCAUUUUCAGAAUUU